GGGCGGCAGUACCUGUGAAGAAGAAGAGGGGGCGGCCGCGGAAGUACGCUCCAGAUGGGUUGUCACCGGCGUCUUCUUCUCGGCCAGUGCGGGAAGCUGGUGCCGAAGCAGGGGCAUCCGGUGAGCCCACUCAGAAGCGCGGGAGAGGGCGGCCGCCGGGUUCAGGGAGAAAGCAGCAGCUAGCUGCGCUUGGAGGUUGGAUUGCUAGCUCAGCUGGAACGGGUUUUUCUCCGCAUCCCUUAAUUGUCGCAGCAGGAGAGGAUGUUACAGCAAAGAUAAUGUCAUUCUCGCAACAGGGGCCAAGGGCUGUCUGUAUCCUCUCGGCAAACGGUACCGUCU
rnacentral:misc_RNA from 1 species